rnacentral:rRNA from 1 species
UACGUAGGGUGCAAGCGUUAAUCGGAAUUACUGGGCGUAAAGCGUGCGCAGGCGGCUUUGCAAGUCAGAUGUGAAAUCCUCGGGCUUAACCUGGGAACUGCAUUUGUGACUGCAUGGCUGGAGUGCGGCAGAGGGGGAUGGAAUUCCGCGUGUAGCAGUGAAAUGCGUAGAUAUGCGGAGGAACACCGAUUGCGAAGGCAGUCCCCUGGGCCUGCACUGACGCUCAUGCACGAAAGCGUGGGGAUCGAACAGG